rnacentral:sRNA from 1 species
GGAGCCGAGGGUCUGCUCAGGUGUGGCCUCUGCAGGGUCCUGGAGGAGGGCAUCCCAUUGGCUGUGACAGAAGGGCCUUGGUGGCAGGAACUUGCCACCCUGGAGUGGGCCCAGUGCACCGUGCUCCACAGGGAGCAGCGGUGCCAGGCUCAGCCCUGCCCCCGACUUGCCUUUUCUGUUCUGCAGCUUUUGCGGGGCCCCCAGAUCCUCUGCACGGGAACAGCUUGUACCAGAAGGUUCGCGCGGCCGCACAGGACUUGGGGAGCACCCUGUUCUCGGACACCGUGUUGCCGCUGGCUCCCUCCCAGCCUCUGGGGACCCCGCCUGCCACAGGCAUGGGCUCCCAGGCCAGGCCGCACAGCACCCUCCAGGGUUUCGGCUACAGCAAGGAACACGGCUGCACGGGCUCGGCAGGCGAAGCCUUCCUCUCCACCAUCCAGAAGGCCGCAGAGGUGGUGGCCAGCGCCAUGCGCCCCGGGCCCGAGAGUCCCAGUACCCAGAGGCUCCUGCCGCGGGGUGACACCUACCAGCCUGCCAUGAUGCCUUCAGCCAGCCACGGUCCCCCAACCCUGGGGAACCUACUCCCCGGGGCCAUUCCAGGUCCCCGAGCUGUGAGGCAUCAGCCUGGGCAGGCCGGAGGGGGCUGGGAUGAGCUGGACAGCGGCCCCAGCUCUCAGAAUUCCUCCCAGAACAGCGACCUGAGCAGGGUCUCGGACUCGGGCAGUCAUUCCGGCAGCGACAGCCAUUCAGGGGCCAGCCGGGAGCCGGG